rnacentral:rRNA from 1 species
GACGAACGCUGGCGGCGUGCCUAAUACAUGCAAGUAGGACGCAGUUGCGAACGGGUGAGUAACGCGUUGGUCACUGCCUAUUAGAGGGGGAUAACUAUUGGAAACGAUAGCUACUACCGCAUACUAGUAGGUGGACCUGCGUUGUAUUAGGUAGUAGGUAGGGUAAUGGGCUACCUAGGCGACGCUACAUAGCCGAGCUGAGAGGGUGGACAGCGACACUGGGAAUGAGAGAAGGCCCAGACUCCUACGGGAGGCAGCAGUAGGGGAUCUUCGGCAAUGGGGGGAACGCUGAACGGGCAACUGCGGGUGAGUGAAGAAGGUUUUCGGAGCGUAAAGGUCUGUUGUUAAGGAAGCGGUACUUAACCAGAAAGGGACGGCUAACUACGUGCCAGCAGCCGCGGUAAUUC